rnacentral:rRNA from 1 species
AGUGAACGCUGGCGGUAGGCCUAACACAUGCAAGUCGAACGGCAGCACAGUAAGAGCUUGCUCUUACGGGUGGCGAGUGGCGGACGGGUGAGGAAUACAUCGGAAUCUACUUUUUCGUGGGGGAUAAUGUAGGGAAACUUAUGCUAAUACCGCAUACGACCUACGGGUGAAAGCAGGGGAUCUUCGGACCUUGCGCGAUUGAAUGAGCCGAUGUCGGAUUAGCUAGUUGGCGGGGUAAAGGCCCACCAAGGCGACGAUCCGUAGCUGGUCUGAGAGGAUGAUCAGCCACACUGGAACUGAGACACGGUCCAGACUCCUACGGGAGGCGGCAGUGGGGAAUAUUGGACAAUGGGCGCAAGCCUGAUCCAGCCAUACCGCGUGGGUGAAGAAGGCCUUCGGGUUGUAAAGCCCUUUUGUUGGGAAAGAAAAGCAGCAGGUUGAUACCCCGCUGUUCUGACGGUACCCAAAGAAUAAGCACCGGCUAACUUCGUG